rnacentral:rRNA from 1 species
AACGAACGCUGGCGGCAGGCUUAACACAUGCAAGUCGGACGCUCGUAGCAAUACGGGAGUGGCAGACGGGUGAGUAACGCGUGGGAACAUACCCUCCGGUUCGGAAUAACUCAGGGAAACUUGAGCUAAUACUGGAUACGGCUGAGAGGCGAAAGAUUUAUCGCCGGAGGAUUGGCCCGCGUUCGAUUAGCUAGUUGGUGGGGUAACGGCUCACCAAGGCGACGAUCGAUAGCUGGUCUGAGAGGAUGAUCAGCCACAUUGGGACUGAGA